AGCAGAGGAAUGGAGCAAGAGAGAGGGCUUCCUUGUUGUUUGUCACAGAGAUAAGAGUGGAAGAGGCCAUCAGAGGAGUGUACAGUAUCAUUGAACCAACAGCUGUUGUUUGGCCAGUUUCUCACCCCACAUUACAUUGUUGCUGAAUCCUGGCACAGAGGACUGAAAUGUCCAUGCCUUUCUUCUCAGUCUUCUCAUGAUCCCCUUGGCUGAAUGAAAUAACAUUACCUAUGAAAUGUGAUCACUUCCUGAUACGGUGGCUGUUUCUAUAUGGCACCCUAUUCCGUAAUGCAUUACUUUUGACCAGGGCCCAUAAGGCUAGCGAAUAGGGUGCUAUUUGGAACAGUCCCUAUGAUCUAUGAGAAGUGCAGACUGGCAACUAAUUAUUUUCGCAAAGAUCUCCCAAUGCACGAGUUAGUAAACUCAAGUUAGGAUUUGGCCAUAUGUAUGUAGGUCUGAUGCUUGUAUGAGUUUUUAGUUUCUAUCUAUUCCGAAGAGUGUAAUUAAAAUGGCAACACUUCGUAAUCGCUGUUGCCUGCGGUUAUGGCAAAUGUCUUCAUUUGCCUUGGUGGUUGCAUUGUCUACAGAAAGGUGAACUAAGGUUCUUUCACCCUCAGCUGGUUACGGCCUCCUGUCACACUAGCCCAAGGGGCUGGAUAUCUGACUCCCCAUUCACAGUGAUCCACUCCCACGUCUCCUUGUGUUGGUGUGUGUAUGUUCGAGAGAAAAAAUAUAAAAAAUGCAUGCACUCACUACUGUAAGUUGCUCUGGAUAAGAGUGGCUGCUAAAUGACCACAUUGCAACCUUUCGGUUACUAGUCCAACGCUCUAACCACUAGGCUACAAUAUAUAAAUGUGUGUGUGUGUGUGAACAUUUUGAGGAGCUCAGUCAAUCGGCCUGAGAGAGGAAAACACAAAGACUUUCUUUCUUUAGUUCCUGAAUGGAGGAAUUCUCUGAAGCUCUUUCAAAUGGUUGUGGCAGCUCCCACAAUCUCCUCUGUCUGUUCUUUUCCCCCACACAGAUAUGAACGCAAGCACGAACACACACACACACACACACACACACACACACACACACACACACACACACACACACACACACACACACACACACACACACACACACACACACACACACACACACACACAUUUGUUUUUACUAUCCUUGUGGGGACCAAAUAAUUGAUUCCCAUUCAAAAUCCUACUUUCACUAACCCUAAACCGAACCCUUAACCUUAACCUUAAAUCAAAUGUAAAAGAAUGUUGGCCACAUGCGCCAAAUAUGACUGGUGUGUGGACUUGACCCUGAAAUGCUUGCUUACGAGCCCUUUGCAAAAAUGCAGAGCUUAAAGAUUAAAUCAAAGAGUAACACGAUUCAAAUAAAAUACACAAGAAUGGAGCUGUACAUAGGGAGUAGCAGUACCAGGUCAAUGUGCAGAAGUAUGAGGUGUUGGAGGUAGAUGCGUCAUCAGGAUGGAUCAGGAGAAGAGUGAAGUGAAGAACAAAACAGCAGCAGCGAAUGAUGAGUGUAGAAUGUGUGUGUGUGUGUGUGUGCGAGCGCGCGUGUGCGUGUAAUGUGUGUGUGUGUGUGUUGUGUCGGUCUGCGCGUUGUGUGUUAUGUGUGUGUGCGUAUGUGUAGGGUAUGUGAAUGUGCGUGGGAGUGACUGCGUUUGUGGUUUGUAUAUAUAGUCCAGUGCAGGGGUAGGCAACCCUGUUCCUGGAGUGCCACAGGUCCUGCAGGAUUUUGGUCCAACUAGGCACCACACCUGACCAACUAAGCUAAUUGAUCAGUUCAGUGAUUGCCUAAAUUCAACACACCUGGUUUACCAGGUCAAUAGAAUCGAGGGACCAGGGUUUUAACUUUAACCCCAAACCCCUUUAAAGCUAAACCUCACCCUAGUUUUUUAGUUUAGUUUAUUAACUCUACCAUUUAAAAAAAAAUGAGUAAAAUCAUGGAGGAUAACACACAAUAAAGUCUGGGACAUAUUUCCAUUGUGGUCCUCUUGAGACAAGAUGGCUAGACAAGAUCGAACACAGUUAAACACAGUGUGGCAGUGAAAUAGUGAAACCAAAACAUAGAAGAAGAACAUCUAUCUCGUCAUUGCAGUUACAUCAUAGGGGUUAUUCAUACGGGCACAGAAGACAUUAAACAUGUUUUUUUACUUUAUGUUUAAAGCUGCCCAGAGAGGACUUUGUUUUUAUAGGCAGAGGCAACUCAUUCCAUUCUGAGGCGCCAGUAUACAAGAAAGUACUGUACCUUUCCCAGCAUUACUCCUGUCCCUGUAUAAGCACACAUAUGUAAGCAACACCUGCUGCUAUGAUUGUGUGCAUCCCUAACACAACAGGAAAGUAAUAACUUAGAUAUCUGGGCGCAGGAUUAUAAAUACUCCUGUAAACCAAACCUAGUCUGGAACACCCUAGCCUCAACAGGCAGCCAGUUUAGUUCCUGAAAGCAGCUCCUGCCUAUGUGUGCCUAGACUCACCUUCAAUAGUACCCUGAUCAGAUUAUUCUGGGCUAUCUGGGGCUUCCCCUUCGUAAGUUUAGAUAAGCCCCCAAACCAGGAAGUACUAGCGUAGGCAAAGUGGCAUUGAAUGAGGGCAGUGGCUAGCACUUUCAUGAAGUCCUUAUCAAGCAGCUUGGACUUUCUAGCCAAAAUACUUCCCUAGCACUUCAUUGGCCAUGUUCACACCUCCCGAGCUUCCAUCAAAGAUACAUCCCAGGUAGAUAACAGAGGUUUAAGUAGUCAGCACCUCACCCCCUAACUCCACUCUGAUUUCAGAGGACCUACCCUAACUCCUAAGCCUAACCCCAAUUGUAACCCUAUCCCUAAACCUAACCCCUAAGCCUAAAAUAGCCUUUUUUACUUGUGGGGACCAGCGAAAUGUCCCCACUUUUGCCUUGUUUAACUAUCCUUUUGAGGACUUCUGGUCCCCAAAAGGAUAGUAAAACCAAAAACACACACACACACACACGACACACACAUUAGGUCACAUGAGCUCUGUGAGAUUUCAAAUCAACAGCGAUCACGGCAACGGGAUGUCAACUGAUCGAAUUCUGCUCAUCCUCCAAGUCUCAGUUCCAUUCGCGCAAUUCCAUGGUAUCAGAAUUACACUUUGACUCAGAUUUUUCACUUUAAAAUGUAUGCCAAAAAACAAACAUUGAUUUCAAAGUUUAACAAACCAUGCAUCUCCACGCACAAGGACAACUUUGACCAUAUUUAAACAGAAAAUGUCACAAAAACACAUUUACUGGAAGAACUGUGCAAAUGCAAAGUUUGGUAACAGAAUUACGGUAAAAUCUUUUGUGACAACAUUUUCCAAAAACUGUUAGAUAUCUGUUCCAAAUGAAGAUGUCUGCACAAAGAAUGGGGUGUCUGCUAUGACAUGACACCUUGUGUUUGAAAAAUGUAUUUUGUGUAUUUUGAUCAUUGAACUACAGUAGGUGAAGUGGAUUUACAUCCAGUAACUGAAUUACGGUAAAUGAAUUACAUCAUGGGUACCUGAUCUGUACUAUACAGAAAUGCAUAAUUAUGGAUAUGAAUACCAUUAUCUUCAUGGUGAUGUAUCCUGAAUAGGUUCACAAAGUUAGAAAUGAUUAUCUUAUUUAGCAUAUAUAUAUAUAUUUUUUAAUAAGCUCUGCCCCCAAACACCACCACAUUUGGUUGGUCCGAACCAGACCAAAUUUGUACCAAUCAUAGACGUCUAUAUUUCACAUCACAGUACAGCACAGUAGAGCAGAGCACAGCAGAGUAGAGCACAGCAGAGUAGAGCACAGCAGAGGAACAGUACAGUCAAAUCAAAUCAAGCUUUAUUUAUAUAGCACAUUUCAGACAUGAAUGGAACGCAAUGCGCUUUACAGGAACAAACAUAAAUAAAAACAGAAAUAUUUAUUACACAACAAUCAUAAGAGGAUAAAAAACGAACUAAUAAUAAUAAUAAUAAAAACAACUGAAAGACUAAGCACCCUAAGGAAAAGCAAAAAAUAAAAAGCUGUGUUUUAAGAUCUCUUUUAAAUAUGUUAAAAGUUCAGUUUUGGCCCCCUUUAGGUGCUCGGGCAGACUGUUCCAGAGGCAUAGUAACUAAACCUAUCCUUGCCUCUUGGUCCUAGGCUUUUGGAUAGUUAAAAGGUCAGUGCCAGAGGACCUGAGGUACCUACUGGGUACAUAACUCAAAAGCAUGUCUGAUAUGCAUUGGGGUGCAAAACCGUGGAUUGAUUUAAUAAACCAACGGAAUAAUCUAAAACUCACAGGCAGCCAGUACAGAGACCUUUAAACCUGAUGUAAUGUGUGCUCUUCAUCUGGUCUGUGUCAGUACCCGCGCUGCAGAAUUCUGUGUGUUUUGCAGUUGACCAAUGGCUUUUUUUGGGUAGACUAGACAGCAGAGCAUUACAGUAGUCAAGCGUGCUUUUAAUAAAAGUACGGAUGAGCCUCUCUGUAACAGUCCGAGAUAGAAACGUCCGUACCUUGGCAGUGUUCCUCGGGUGGUAAAAAGAUAUUUUGGUCACAUUCCCGAUUCGAAAUUGAGUUCAGAAUCCAAAAUGACACCUACGUUUUUUACCUGGUGUGUGAUUUAAAAUGUGCUGCCAGAUUCUCUUUCUGUACUUUGGCUCCAAUAAUAAGUACCACGGUCUUGUCUUGAUUUAGCUGGAGGAAGUUGUGAGUCAUCCAAGUAGUUAAAAACUAAUACAGUCGAAUAAUGUAUCUGUUGAACUAAAAUCUUCCGGUUGUGGUAAAGUUGUGGAUCGUCUGUGUAGCAGUGAAAAUCAAUGCCUUGCUUUAUGAUAAUGCUGCAAUGGGUAACAAAUAUAACCUGAAUAGUACCGGACCCAGAACCGAACCUUGUGGAAUGCCACAUGUGCAGUGGCGUGUAAUCAUGGAUGCCAAGGGAAGUCAAGAAUCUUUAAAAAAAAUACCAACAAAAAAACAAUUUAUUUUGUCUCUCUGUGUUUCAUACAUUUCCUUUAAUUCGCAAGAGGCUGAAUGUAUUACACCGGAGAAAGCAUUUGAGCGAAUGAAACAGCGCCCCCUCUGUCUCAGUAUGUUUAGCCCUUCUAUCUGAUGCUGUCUGGUCAAAAAUAGUAUGACAUUGUUGUCGUUCGUAGCAUUGAAUGCAAGGGAAGCCAGCGAGUAUUUGGCCUCCCUUGAUGAAAAAAAAGUAUAAAAUAAUAGCCAGUCAGCAUUGAGGUAAACUGAGUGAGCUCAUCUGUGAAUGGUCCUGGCACACCAAAAAAAAGUGUCAAGGGAACCCAGUUUAGAUCUGGCUUCACACCAAUCACUUCACAUGCCAAAUGUCAUUGACAGAAAAAAACUAGAUCUCUUGUUGCAUCUCGUGUUGUUGUCCUCUGGUGGCUAGCUAGCUGGAUAAAAUCGUUCAUUUCCUAACUUAGCCAUGGAUGGAGAUAAUGAUUUGGACUUGUGGUUUUGCUUAAUUCUCCGUACUGGUAACACUAUCUACCAAGAGAGUUCUCAUCUAUAUUAUUAGUAGCCAUCUGUUUACCACCACAGACCGAUGCUGGCACCAAGACCACACUCAAACAACUCAAUAAGGCCAUAAGCAAACAAGAAAAUUCUCAUCCAGAAGUGGUGCUCCUUGUGGACGGCUAAUUUUCAACCGCAGUCCCUGGGCAGGUUAUUAAAAACAAUUACAAUAUAGACAAUAGCAACAUAGAACAAGCAAGACAUAGCAACAUAGAACAAGCAAGACAUAGCAACAUAGGACAAGCAAGACAUAGCAUACAGACAGAGCAACAUAGGACAAGCAAGAUGUAGCAUACAGACAGAGCAACAUAGAACAAAAAGCUGCAAGACAAAAUUCAUAAAAGCAACAAAGUGUUUCCACACCUCACAAGCUACAGACAACAGACAACAUGGAUUGGGACCAUGUUCACAAAUCUGAUUGACCUUUAGCCAUGUCUUCAAGCAUUUUGUGAAAGUGUGAUAUGUGGUGCAGUUAUGUGUGUCUGAUGGCAGUGUAUUCCAGACAUGGGAAGCUCUCACAGAGAAUGCAGAUUUACUAAAGGUGCUUUUCCUUAGGGGAACUAUACAGUCACCUCUCAUGGCAGACCUUGUAGAUCUGCUGCGAUAUGUCUGGGUUUUCUGUUUAACAAAAAUAUUGAGUGGAGGGGGAGCCAGGCCAUUAAGGAUCUUGAAUACAAGACAUGCGUCGGUGUAUUGCACAAGAUUUUCCCAACUCAAGAAAUACCGUUUAUGCUUGCUUCGAGGCAAGCAACAGUAAAGCAUGCACAAGAGCACCAGCUGUUCUGGAUGACUGUGUGAUAACGCUCCCAGUAGCCGAUGUGUGCAAGACCUUUAAACAGGUCAACAUUCACAAAGUAGGGCCAGACGGAUUACCAGGACGUGUACUCAAUGUAUGCGGACCAACUGGCAAGUGUCUUCACUGACAUUUUCAACCUCUCCAUGACCGAUUCUGUAAUACCUACAUGUUUCAAGCAGACCACCAUAGUCCCUGUUCCCAAAAAAACUAAGGUAACCUGCCUAAAUGAUUACCGCCCCGUAGCACUCACGUCGGUAGCCAUGAAGUGCUUUGAAAGGCUGGUCAUGGCUCACAUUAACAACAUACUCCCUGAUACCCUAGACCCACUCCAAUUCGCAUACCGCCCCAACAGAUCCACAGAUGACGAAGUCUCAAUCGCACUUCACACUGCCCUUUCCCACCUGGACAAAAGGAACACCUAUGUGAGAAUGCUGUUCAUUGACUACAACUCAGCGUUCAACACCAUAGUGCCCACAAAGCUCAUCACUAAGCUAAGGUCUCUGGGACUAAACACCUUCCCCCGCAACUGGAUCCUGGACUUUCUGACAGGCCUCGCCUAGGUUGUAAGGGUAGGCAACAACACGUCUGCCACGCUGAUCCUCAAAAGUGGGGCCCCUCAGGGGAGUGUACUUAGUCCCCCCCUGUACUCCCUGUUCACCCACGACGGCGUGGCCAAACAUGACUCCAACACCAUCAUUAAGUUUGCUGACCACACGAUAGUGGUAGGCCUGAUCACCGACAAAGAUGAGAGCCUAUAAGGUGGAGGUCAGAGACCUGGCUGUGUGGUGCCAGGACAACAACUUCUCCCUCAAUGUGAGCAAGACAAAGGAGCUGAUCGUGGAUUACUGGAAAAGGUGGGCCGAACAGGACCCCAUGAACAUCGACAAGGUUGUAGUGGAGCGGGUCGAGAGUUUCUUGGUGUCCACAUCAACAACAAACUAGAAUGGUCCAAAAACACCAUGAUAGUCGUGAAGAGGACACGACACAGCUUUUCCUCCUCAGGAAACUAAAAAGAUUUGGCAUGGGUCCUGAGAUCCUCAAAAGGUUCUACAGCUGCAACAUUGAGAGCAUCCUGACCGGUUGCAUCACUGCCUGGUACGGCAAUUGCUCGGCCUCUGACCCUAAGGCACUUCAGAGGGUAGUGUGUACGGCCCAGUACAUCACUGGAGCAAAGCUGCCUGCCAUCCCGGACCUCUACACCAGGCGGUGUCAGAGGAAGGCCCUGAAAAUUGUCAAAGACCCCAGCCACCCCAGUCAUAGACUAUUCUCUCUGCUACCACAUGGCAAGCGGUACCGGAGUGCCAAGUCUAGGACAAAAAAGCGUCUCAACAGUUUUUACCUCCAACCAAUAAGACUCCUGAACAGGUAACCAAAUGGUUACCCGGACUAUUUGCAUUGUGUUCCCCCCCAACCCCUCUUUUACGCUGCUGCUGCUCUCUGUUCAUCAUAUAUGCAUAGUCACUUUAACCAUACCCACAUGUACAUACUACCUCAAUAUGCCUGACUAACCGGUGUCUUUAUAUAGCCUUGCUACUAUUAUUUUCAAAUGUCUUUUUACUGUUGUUUUAUUUCUUUACUUACCAACACACACACACACACACGCAUACACCUUUUUUCCCCGCACUAUUGGUUAGAGCCUGUAAGUAAGCAUUUCACUGUAAGGUCUACAUCUGUUGUUUUCUGCGCACGUGACAAAUAAACUUUUAUUUGAUUUGAUUUUCCUCCUUCAGAGACUGAAUAGAUUUGGCAUGGGUCCCCAGAUCCUCAAAAAGUUAUACAGCUGCACCAUCGAGAGCAUCCUGACCGGUUGCAUCACCGCCUGGUAUGGAAACUGCUCGGCAUCUGACCAUAAGGCACUACAGAGGGUAGUGUAUAUGGCCGAGUACAUUCCUGGGGCCAAGGUUCCUGCCAUCCAGGACCUAUAUGUAAUAGGCGGUGUCAGUGGAAAGCCCAGAAAAUUUACUCCAGUCUCCAGUCACCCGAGUCAUAGACUGUUUUCUCUGACAUGUGGGCUGACGAUUUUAGAAAAAUAGGCACGGUGGGCUUUUGGUUUAUCUCCCUCUAAAAACAGAAAUAAAUCAUUCUAUAUCUCACCCCAUAUUCAAGAAUGGCUUUUUUUCCUUUAUUCAGAUUACAAUCGCUCACUUUCGGUUAUUUGAAACGAAAUCAUCUCCGAAAUAUCGUUAUUAUUUUAAAAAGCAAUAGAAAGUCGGUUGGAAUUUCAGUUAAAAAAAAUAAACUUGUCUGCCAGCCCUGCAUUAAAGGCCAAAAAUUGGUUCAAGAAAAUUGUGAUCAAUAAAAAUAUUUACCAGUUUCAUUUAAGGACCAAAACAGUUACAGCCGAAGAGAUUGCAAAAAAGUUGGGAAGAGAUUUUCGAUGUAGCAAUUCCAUGGCACAUGGUUUAUGAAUUGACACGCAAUUUAAAGUUUAUUGUAACCUACUAUAUUAUAAGUCCACACCAGUUUCUUCCAGGGUUAGAACUGUAACCACCAAAGGACUUGAAAAUGAGCCGGAACUGAGAGGAUCACCGAAACUAAAGAGCGUACAACCAUGCCGACACCCAUCCGUGGAGGUCAGUGGACAAAGGGCUGGACAAUAGGCUGCACUGAAAAAACACAUGGUUCCCAAGAAAGCGGCCACUGUAAUCAAUAUGGGGCUCAGGGCGGAACCAUUCUGUUCAUCUGACGAAGGUGCACAUGGAUCAGAUUCAAACUUUGAAGAGCGAGAUCGAGUCAUUGAAGGCAGACCAGCAGGAAGAGCAACAUUCUCUGAGGGCAGAGAUACGGGCGACAGCUGAUGCAUUGGUCCAGAGCCGGGCAGUAUUUGGCGGAGAGUCAGGCGAAGAAUGGCGCGUUGAAGAGGGCGAGGAACGAGAUGGAGUCACAAUCCGUGCCAGGCGCACCUGUGAGCUCUGGAACUCCACCUCUGACAGGCAGUCACGUACGUGGCAGGUUCAAUCGCUUUAUUGUUGAAUUAUUUAAGGCUCCUUUCUCUUCUCUGUGCUGGAUUUCUUUUAAGAUGAACGUAGGCGAAUGAAGGCAACAAGUUGCUUCUUACUGGAACACCCUAAGUCAUCCACUUGUUAUAAUAGGAUUUGAAGCAAUAGCCUACCUGUGUGUGGUCAACUAUUUCAGCACUGUUUCGCGCUGCUCUGAGACAAGCAUGGGGACUAGUCUUGAUAUAAAUCAAUGAGAUUUUUUAUUUUCACUGAAUCUCCGUUUGGGUAUUGGUUAGACUACAAUUAGGGCGUGGAAAAGUUAGGAUGAUGUUUUGCUGUCAGUCAAUGAUUCCCAACCAAAUGUGAAGAGCUUGAGCAAUUUUGACAAAAACUAUGAAUAUGCAUGUAUGCGUUACUCUAAGAGUUGUGCACAAUCUCACAUUCAAUGUAUAUCUGCAGAUUUUGUGAGUUUUUGUGUGGCUUUACCAUGUUUACUAUGUACUGUAGGCUAUGUGUACUUGUUAGACUGCACAGUAGCCUAAUAAACAUCUUCAUUUUGAAAUCUUUUUUUUUUACCAUGGUAGAUGCUGUGUUUUUGGUUGAUGGCCAAUAUUAAAAACUGUCAUAUGCA